CACACUGGAACUACUACAGACUCUUCAGUACUGAGCAAACCCAGGCAAACAAAGCCCCCACUGUGUGCCCCAUCCUCACAGAGCCUGUGGCCAGCAUCCCUUCAUAUGUGGACACUGCUGCCCCAUUGAGAUGAUCUUCGCUGAAAAGGACAGACUGCUCCUGUGCUAGAAGAGGAGGUGACAUGGAAGCAAAGGACAUCCCAGAGGAACACGAGGCCCAGGAAUAAAGUCGCUGUAUAAUAAAUAUCAACAGCCUGUGUUGUACCACAAACCAAACAGAACAAAUGGAAUCCAGAAACUGGUUGGAGUGGCCUUACCUGAGCUAUGCAAUGAGGAGCCCGGGGCGCCUGGUUUUCCCUCUGUGCACAUCCCGAUGAACGGAUUGGUUACUUGAGAUCUCCCGAAAAACACCAAGGAGGCCAUUGUCAACACGUGUGUGUUCACGAACCAACAGCGUGGAUCCUAGGAACCCUGGGACCAAGAGAAGCAUCCUUUAUUGGCUGAUGGUGCACACUCCUUCCAGGGGUUCAUUUUUGGUCAUUGCCCAGAAAAAACAGGAGGGCAGUGAUGUGCAAAUCACUGUCACUGUCUGUCUGUCUGUGUCUGUGUCUGUGUCUGUGUCUGUGUCUGUCUGUCUCUCUCUCUCUCUCUCUCUCUCUCUCUCUCUCUCACACACACACACACACAGGGAUUUGGAGCCUUUGUUGUUGGUUGCUACUUCUGUUCUCUCUCUUUCUCUCU